AGACUUAGGUUAAAUUAAACCAGGGGCCUUCAAAGCCCCAAACAAGAACAACCAGCCUCCUAGCCUCUG
rnacentral:tRNA from 1 species